rnacentral:rRNA from 1 species
GUGAAUCAUCGAAUCUUUGAACGCACCUUGCGCUCCUUGGUAUUCCGAGGAGCAUGCCUGUUUGAGUGUCAUUAAAUUCCCAACCUCACCAACUUUGUUGUGUGCAGGCUUGGAUGUGGGGGUUGCAGGUCCACUCUCGUGGUCUGCUCCAUCUGAAAUGUAUUAGUGGGUUGUGCCCCUAAUCUAUUGGUGUGAUAAUUAUCUACGCCGUGGAUUGGGUUGGUUACUUGAAGACCUGCUUCUAACCGUCCCCUGGACAACUUUUGACAAUUUUGACCCCAAAUCAGGCAAGACUACCCGCUGAACUUAA